rnacentral:rRNA from 1 species
UACGUAGGGGGCAAGCGUUGUCCGGAAUCAUUGGGCGUAAAGAGCGUGUAGGCGGCCCGAUAAGUCCGCUGUGAAAGUCCAGGGAUCAACCCUGGGAUGCCGGUGGAUACUGUCGGGCUCGAGUCCGGAAGAGGAGUGUGGAAUUCCUGGUGUAGCGGUGAAAUGCGCAGAUAUCAGGAGGAACACCAAUGGCGAAGGCAGCACUCUGGGACGUGACUGACGCUGAGACGCGAAAGCGUGGGGAGCGAACAGG